rnacentral:sRNA from 1 species
UUGCUAGCCCUGGAAACUGAAUUUCUCUGUCUACAAAAGACACACAGCUUAGUCAGUGAUGAUACAGGCUUCCCCACACUGCCUUGCCAGAGUGCCUGAAUCAACCUGAGGGACCAAGUGUAGUGAAUGAGAGAGCAAUUUGGUCUCCAUAAUGUUUGGCCAAAAAUUAUUGCU